rnacentral:rRNA from 1 species
GACGAACGCUGGCGGCGUGCUUAACACAUGCAAGUCGAACGGAAAGGCCCUGCUUUUGUGGGGUGCUCGAGUGGCGAACGGGUGAGUAACAGGUGAGUAACCUGCCCUUGACUUUGGGAUAACUUCAGGAAACUGGGGCUAAUACCGGAUAGGAGCUCCUGCUGCAUGGUGGGGGUUGGAGAGUUUCGGCGGUUGUGGAUGGACUCGCGGCUUAUCAGCUUGUUGGUGGGGUAGUGGCUUACCAAGGCUUUGACGGGUAGCCGGCCUGAGAGGGUGACCGGCCACAUUGGGACUGAGAUACGGCCCAGAAUCCUACGGGAGGCAGCAGUGGGGAAUAUUGCACAAUGGGCGGAAGCCUGAUGCAGCAACGCCGCGUGCGGGAUGACGGCCUUCGGGUUGUAAACCGCUUUCGCCUGUGACGAAGCGUGAGUGACGGUAAUGGGUAAAGAAGCACCGGCUAACUACGUG